GGGACUGCUUUGUCUCAGCCGACAGAACCAGCAAGCCAGAAAGGGAAUGAAGACAUUUGGAGAAGAAGCGUUUACUGAAAGGAGAUUCCUGGGCUGGAGGAAAACCAUGAUCUACAGUUCAUGUUGACAGAUAUUGUAUUUUUGGUCCUAGAUCUGACUUUUGAAAUGACUUAUCACAAAUUCAAAUUUAGCAAUCAUGAGUGAAGUACCCACGAUGUGCUAAGCAUCUACCUCUGCAGAUAGAAGAACACUUACUGUUCCUGAGCAUGGGAGGGAAUAGAAGUUCCUGGGUCCUGGCCUCACCUCAUCAGGCACUGCCAAAUUUGACACCUCCUUCCUGUUCACGGCAGUCCUUUGCGAUAGGGUAUUAGAUGCCACCAAGUAGCUGCAUAACUCACCCAUUUGGUCAGAGCCUGGGUCUAAGCCAGGUCUGACAGACUCCAAAGCAAGCCCUGUUUACAGCAUGACUGGGAUCCAGUGGACGAGGGAACUGAGCUGUCAAAACUAAGUGACUUGAUUGAGGCCAUGCAGCUGGCGAGGGGAGGACCAGGAUCUGAACCCAACUGGGUCUCCCAAGCCUGGGCCACUGAACCAUUUCACCUCUUGGAAAAACUUAAUGGUCAGAGUGGCCCACCCAGUCCAUGGACAGCAUGGAGUGGUAUGGUGGAAGAGGAGGGAAGAAAACCUGUGUAUUGUAAGUCAUAUUCUUCUAUGGUGUGAAGGUUAACGUAAGUUUUAAGAAAGUUUUUUUUUUUAAUUUUAUUAUAUGAUCUUGCUCUAAAGGGAUGUAAAUUCAGAUGCUGAAUUGCACACAUCCUUUCUCUUUCAUAUUUUCAAUAUUGAACGUAAUUUCAAUAUUUAACAUAAAACAAUGAGUACAUUGUCUCCACCUCAUUGUUUUUGGGUGGUGUUUGUGAGGAGCCUGCGUUCUUUGGAAGGAAGACCUUUCAGAUGACCUGACCAGUCCUCCUCUUCAGAACCCGGAUGCUGGCGAAGCAGACUACUCCCAACGCAGGCCACCUGUCUUGAAGAUGUGUAUCUAUAGUCAGAGGGAGGAGCCAUGUGCAAGCGUUUGGCUGGAUCACUACAAAUCUAUCAUGACUCUGGGAAAUCAACCGCUGUAUGAGAUCCCGGCGAUUGAUGAGGGAACUCACUUUCAUUUAAAAGGGACAGCAAGCAUAAUUCUCAAUGCACACAUAGUCUCAAUGGAGUGGAUUUUCAUGGACUGACUCAAGGUAUACUGCUCUAAAUCCUACUGUAAGGCUUCCUCAUCAAGUUACCUACCUUCUAAUUGAGUCUCCUCAUCGGCUGAAAUGUUUACUCACAUGGAGUUAAUGACAGUGUCUGCAUUAGAGGAUUUAGUCAAGAUCAAAUUAGAUAUUGCAAUGGAGUGCUGAGGACAACAGCUGGCAUGCUUAAAAUGCUUGCUAAAUGUGUACAAGUGCACAAGUUCUGUUUUAUUAAUAAAAACCAACACCUAUGU
ensembl:lncRNA LINC01102 long intergenic non-protein coding RNA 1102